GCGAGAGUGGCGGAACUGGCAGACGCGCUGGACUUAGGAUCCAGUGGGGUUUCCCGUAGGGGUUCGACUCCCCUCUCUCGCACCA
rnacentral:tRNA from 1 species